UAAGCAUAUCGAAUUACAAUUCGUUCGUUCAAUUAUCUUACCUGCAACGACUAUAUAAAUCAGCUUUAAUGACAAUUUUAUAAAAUAGUCAGAAUGCAAGCUCCAAUAUCAAUCUUGCUACUAGUUUUGGCCAUUGUUAGUCAGUCAAUGGCUAAUCCAAAUCCUGAAAGAGGAGGUGAUAAAGGCAAAUGGUGUCGUUUAAAUUUGGGCCCAGCCUAUGGUGGAAGAUGCUAGUUAAAGGGAAAAGAUGAAAAUGAAAUGAAGAAAAUUGACCAGACACACACACAAUAACAAAAAUUGUGGAAUAUUUUCUUAAAUAAACUUUAAAACUCAUCAAUUAAAGUGAUUCUUAGACCUAAAUAAUAAAAGUUAUAUCACAAACACA